AGUGAACGCUGGCGGUAGGCCUAACACAUGCAAGUCGAACGGCAGCACAGUAAGAGCUUGCUCUUACGGGUGGCGAGUGGCGGACGGGUGAGGAAUACAUCGGAAUCUACUUUUUCGUGGGGGAUAACGUAGGGAAACUUACGCUACUACCGCAUACGACCUACGGGUGAAAGCAGGGGAUCUUCGGACCUUGCGCGAUUGAAUGAGCUGAUGUCGGAUUAGCUAGUUGGCGGGGUAAAGGCCCACCAAGGCAACGAUCCGUAGCUGGUCUGAGAGGAUGAUCAGCCACACUGGAACUGAGACACGGUCCAGACUCCUACGGGAGGCAGCAGUAGGGAAUAUUGGACAAUGGGCGCAAGCCUGAUCCAGCCAUGCCGCGUGAGUGAAGAAGGCCUUCGGGUUGUAAAGCCCUUUUGUUGGGAAAGAAAAGCAGCAGGUUAAUACCCCGCUGUUCUGACGGUACCCAAAGAAUAAGCACCGGCUAACUUCGUG
rnacentral:rRNA from 1 species